rnacentral:rRNA from 1 species
CCCUACGGGACGCAGCAGUGGGGAAUAUUGCACAAUGGGGGAAACCCUGAUGCAGCGACGCCGCGUGAGUGAGGAAGUAUUUCGGUAUGUAAAGCUCUAUCAGCAGGGAAGAAAUGACGGUACCUGACCAAGAAGCCCCGGCUAACUACGUGCCAGCAGCCGCGGUAAUACGUAGGGGGCAAGCGUUAUCCGGAUUUACUGGGUGUAAAGGGAGCGUAGACGGCUGUGCAAGUCUGAAGUGAAAGCCCAGGGCUCAACCCUGGGACUGCUUUGGAAACUGUGGAGCUAGAGUGCUGGAGAGGUAA